AGAGAGGCCCGGGCGAAGCCUAGAGCGGAAGGGAGCCAGGCCGCCUCCGGGGCGGAAAGGGCGGGACCACGUGAAUUGGCGAAUGAUUCUAGGUCAAGAAAUUCCCAGUAUCUCAGAAGCCUCCUUUAUGCAGCCACCCAAUUAUUGUCACCUGUCACCAAAGGAAGUUCCGAGGAUUUUAGGAGCUCUGUGCCAGAGAAGGAACCCACCACGGAAUG